UACAGAGGUCUCAAGCGUUGUUCGGAUUCAUUGGGCGUAAAGGGUGCGUAGGCGGCGCGGUAAGUCGGGUGUGAAAUCUCGGAGCUUAACUCCGAAACUGCAUUCGAUACUGCCGUGCUUGAGGACUGGAGAGGAGACUGGAAUUUACGGUGUAGCGGUGAAAUGCGCAGAUAUCAGGAGGAACACCGGUGGCGAAGGCGGAUCUCUGGGCCUGUCCUGACGCUCAGGCGCGAAAGCUAGGGGAGCAAACAGG
rnacentral:rRNA from 1 species